rnacentral:rRNA from 1 species
AGUGAACGCUGGCGGUAGGCCUAACACAUGCAAGUCGAACGGCAGCACAGUAAGAGCUUGCUCUUACGGGUGGCGAGUGGCGGACGGGUGAGGAAUACAUCGGAAUCUACUUUUUCGUGGGGGAUAACGUAGGGAAACUUACGCUAAUACCGCAUACGACCUGCGGGUGAAAGCAGGGGAUCUUCGGACCUUGCGCGAUUGAAUGAGCCGAUGUCGGAUUAGCUAGUUGGCGGGGUAAAGGCCCACCAAGGCGACGAUCCGUAUCUGGUCUGAGAGGAUGAACAGACACACUGGAACUGAGACACGGUACAGACUCCUACGGGAGGCAGCAGUGGGGAAUAUUGGACAAUGGGGGAAAGCCUGAUCCAGCCAUACCGCGUGGGUGAAGAAGGACUUCGGGUUGUAAAGCGCUUUUGUUGGGAAAGAAAAGCAGCAGGUUAAUACCCCGCUGUUCUGACGGUACCCAAAGAAUAAGCACCGGCUAACUUCGUG